AGCGACGCUGGCGGCGUGCCUAUACAUGCUGUCGAGCGGACAGAUGGGAGCUUGCUCCCUGAUGUUAGCGGCGGACGGGUGAGUAACACGUGGGUAACCUGCCUGUAAGACUGGGAUAACUCCGGGAAACCGGGGCUAAUACCGGAUGCUUGUUUGAACCGCAUGGUUCAAACAUAAAAGGUGGCUUCGGCUACCACUUACAGAUGGACCCGCGGCGCAUUAGCUAGUUGGUGAGGUAAUGGCUCACCAAGGCGACGAUGCGUAGCCGACCUGAGAGGGUGAUCGGCCACACUGGGACUGAGACACGGCCCAGACUCCUACGGGAGGCAGCAGUAGGGAAUCUUCCGCAAUGGACGAAAGUCUGACGGAGCAACGCCGCGUGAGUGAUGAAGGUUUUCGGAUCGUAAAGCUCUGUUGUUAGGGAAGAACAAGUACCGUUCGAAUAGGGCGGUACCUUGACGGUACCUAACCAGAAAGCCACGGCUAACUACGUGCCAGCAGCCGCGGUAAUACGUAGGUGGCAAGCGUUGUCCGGAAUUAUUGGGCGUAAAGGGCUCGCAGGCGGUUUCUUAAGUCUGAUGUGAAAGCCCCCGGCUCAACCGGGGAGGGUCAUUGGAAACUGGGGAACUUGAGUGCAAAGAGGAGAGUGGAAUUCCACGUGUAGCGGUGAAAUGCGUAAGAUGUGGAGACACAGUGCGAAGGCACUCUCUGGUCUGUACUGACCCUGAGACAAACCGUGGGGAACCAACGGGAUUAAAUACGG
rnacentral:rRNA from 1 species